rnacentral:sRNA from 1 species
UGGCCGUGGGGUCCACCUCGCGGGUCACCACCAGAUAUUCGCGCAACGCGAUGGCGUGCAGGUGCUC